rnacentral:rRNA from 1 species
UACACUCCUGCGGGAGGCAGCAGUGGGGAAUAUUGCACAAUGGGCGCAAGCCUGAUGCAGCCAUGCCGCGUGUAUGAAGAAGGCCUUCGGGUUGUAAAGUACUUUCAGCGGGGAGGAAGGCGAUAAGGUUAAUAACCUUGUUGAUUGACGUUACCCGCAGAAGAAGCACCGGCUAACUCCGUGCCAGCAGCCGCGGUAAUACGGAGGGUGCAAGCGUUAAUCGGAAUUACUGGGCGUAAAGCGCACGCAGGCGGUCUGUCAAGUCGGAUGCGAAAUCCCCGGGCUCAACCUGGGAACUGCAUUCGAAACUGGCAGGCUAGAGUCUUGUAGAGGGGGGUAGAAUUCCAGGUGUAGCGGUGAAAUGCGUAGAGAUCUGGAGGAAUACCGGUGGCGAAGGCGGCCCCCUGGACAAAGACUGACGCUCAGGUGCGAAAGCGUGGGGAGCAAACAGGAUUAGAAACCCGUGUAGUCCCA